rnacentral:rRNA from 1 species
UGUCAGCAGCCGCGGUAAUACGUAGGGUGCGAGCGUUAAUCGGAAUUACUGGGCGUAAAGCGUGCGCAGGCGGUUUUGUAAGCCAGAUGUGAAAUCCCCGGGCUUAACCUGGGAACUGCAUUUGGGACUGCAAGGCUAGAGUACGGCAGAGGGGGGUAGAAUUCCUGGUGUAGCAGUGAAAUGCGUAGAUAUCAGGAGGAAUACCGAUGGCGAAGGCAGCCCCCUGGGUCGAUACUGACGCUCAUGCACGAAAGCGUGGGGAGCAAACAGGAUUAGAUACCCUGGUAGUCCACGCCCUAAACGAUGUCAACUAGUUGUUGGGAGCCUUACCGCUCUUAGUAACGCAGCUAACGCGUGAAGUUGACCGCCUGGGGAGUACGGUCGCAAGAUUAAAACUUAAAUGAAUUGACGG